UGCCUCUAGUCUUCCAUCAGUUACCUAUGUGUUUCCAAACUGCUUCGUUCAAAGCUGACAGAUUGUCUUAAAUGUCAAAAUGUUAUAUGGUAUCCUUGCUCAGAAUAUGAUUUUGGCCUCCUACACAAAACCUUUGUAAUUAUGGAUUACAAAUGUUUUUGUACGGUGUUUACCUAUAACCUACUUAUACAACUUCCUUUUCCACAACUUGCCCUUUCUGUUUCAUCUGAACUAAUUUCUUUACUGAUCUCCAGCCACACUGUAGAAGUUCUUAUUUACAACUUUGGAGCAAAUACCAUCCACCUUUAGUUGUGUAAGGGGCCAAGAAAGCAGUGAUCUGUGGAUCACUCAGAUAUUAGGAAUAUCCUAAAGAGAUAGUAAUGUUAGUAUUUGAGAAGAACUCUCUUGUGUGGACUUGAGAAUGAAUUGCAGAGAGCUGAAUUAGUGAGUAUUCCAAGUAGGUCCCCUACAGUCAGCAUCAGUCCUCCUCUUGACUGACCAAUAGGUCAAGCCUGUGUGUUUCCAUUUUGGUUGGGAAGAACUUAUUUUCAGAAUUCUCAUUCCUCAAAAAAUAAACAAGAAGAGGGUCUAUCCUGAAAAUUUUCUAGGCAUUCCUGAGUAAAUCUGCAUUUACAUCAAGUGCAGAGAAUCCCUUAUUUUAUUAUACUUUAGCAUAUUUUUUCAGUAUUUUUACCCCUUUGUGUAUUCAGUCGACAGGGAAAGACCACUUAAAUGAGCCCAUAAUUGACAUCCAUAGGAAAAUCUUAGUACCAUCAACCAGCUGAACCUAGGAAGAGAUGAAACAUGGAGUUCUGGCCUCCCAUACAUAGAAAGCAAAAAAUCACAAAAGCUUACCAUGUAGAAAAUAAUAAGCCCAAUUUCUAAGUAAAGAAAUUAUCUCUUCUUUUCAGACAAAAAUUAAUGUAAGUAGAAUUCAGUUGCCUACAAACCAAUAACCAAACAAACCAACUUGGUAGAUAAUCAAUCUACCAAGUUAACAAAGAAUUUUUGCCUUUGUAAAAUGUGGUAAGAUUAAGCACAGAUGUUCUAGAAGGACCGGGAAACAUCUUCUGUUGCCAAAGAUUAGAAAAUGCUGGUAUCAUUCAGCAGUUUAUGAUGGGCAGUGUCUACUUGUUUUAUUUCUCUGGCAGAAUGGACACUUGAAUUUUAAGAACUGUUAUUGGACACCCUGAAAUAUAAACAUAUUACACAGUUCCAUAAGUAACCUUUUCACACAAAUGGAAGACAAAACAUAGUUUUAAGCUCAUUCUAUACACCUCUUUGCAAAUGUCAAUUUUUUUUGGUGAGAGUGUCGCUUUAUCUGUCGUAUAGAUAGAAUACUGUUGGUCAAAACAAAAAUAUUUUAGAAAUGCUGUAGUAUCAAAGAUCUUUCUCCCUUCUUCCCAUUCUUUCCUUCCUCUAUAAUUUUUUCUUGAUUCUUCCCUUUCACUCUCCCUCCCUUCCUUCCUUCACUUCUUACUUCCUAAAUUUCUACCCUGUUCAAGAAAGAACACAAAAAUUAUAUAUACGAUGGCCAGAUCACAUAAUUGAAAAUUCCCAGAAACAACAACAGGAAAAGAUAGAGGUGGGGUUCUUCUUAUUGGUAAGAAGUGCAGAGGAUCCUAUUUCUUCCACUGCAUUCAAAUGUAAAACCUUGACAGAUGUUUGGAGCAGCAAUGUGACUGAAAAGCAAAUAAUGAAAGAUUUGUAUUUCCUCUGAUAUGUUGCAAGAAUUAUGUUCUCUGGAAGUAACUAUCUAUUUGUUGUCUUGGUUAAAUAUUGUAAUAUUGUUUGUGUGUAUUAAUCAAGAGAAUGUAUCAGCUGC
rnacentral:lncRNA from 1 species